CAGAGAAUGGUUGAACCAAGAAGACAGGAGAGGGUUGGACUGCUUUUCCAUUAACAGGAAUUUUUGAGAUAUAACUUAAGUGAUGUGAUAUGAAAGCAGCAAAUACCCCACAUCACAUCCAUUAUUAUUAUUUCAGUCAAAAUAUUGCAUGUACCUGUGCCUGCUGAUCCUCUACUGGUCCGGGUUUGAUUCGCAUAAUCAAUAACUGUGCAAGAACGGCGAUACGGUGGAUCUGGCUGAAAGAUAAGCAUUUUAUUAUCAUAACUAUGAGGAAGAACGUCUAAGAACAUCAGGAUAAUUUGGAUAACAACAAAAAUAUAAACCAAAAAUAAAAAUACAAGAAUUCUUGAAUUUGCCAAUGCAAUCUGUUGUGAGAUAAAUUCAACUUUAACAUGUCUCUCAUUUCCAAAGAAUAUAAUUAAAUGUGUUUUCAUAUAACAUACAAAUUGGGAGGUUACCGUUUG